rnacentral:hammerhead_ribozyme from 1 species
UGGCGAAACCGGCGCUCUUGCCGGUCGCUCUAGGGUCGCGCCUAGGGCCUGAUGAGCCAGCGAAUA